UUAAGGGUGGCUAUCAUAAGGGUGCAUAAUUGAAGAUGGUAUGAAGAAAGGUGUUGAAUAAAAGAAAAAAAAUAGGAUUGGGUGUGGUAGAAAAGUUUGGAAAAAAGAAAGAAAGAAAAAAAAUAGAAAAACAAGUGAUAAAUGCAAAGACAGAAAAAACCACACCCAAGUCAAACAGCAAUGAAGGAGAAAAAUGGAUAACAAAAGAAGAAUGGUUAAGUAGUGGAGCCAAUAAUGUAAGUGUAGUGUCAUAGAGAGUGACUCACUAUUUUCCAUAUGUACCAUACCUGCUCCUAAGCCUGCAUACAAGACGGGAAAAGUCCUAUAGUGAUCCCAGUCCAAAUGUUCGAAAAACUAUGAUAUAGAAAAUAAGAGCAAGCCUAUAGUAUUUUAUGCACAUUAUUUAAAAUUCGUUGUGAGCUUGAGUGUUUUGAUAUAGUCCCUCUAUUGAUAUGCGUUAUGACAAUAUGACAGUUGGGAAUUUCUUGUACUAAGGGUACAUCGAUUGUACUGUUAACUACUUAUUUGUUCGAGUAGUGUAGAUUGCAUAAUGCUUGACUGUUUGUUGCAUGUUGCAUUAAUGAGGUCUAAGUCUAUUUUGGUUUUGCUUGCAUGGUAAGAUCAGAAUUAAGUACCUUUUAUUAUCACGGGACAUAGAAGUGGAUGGGAUGUGUAUGUCUUGCCAUACGGAGGCUAAGACGGAUUCAGAUAUAGUAGUUAAUAGAUAAAAAU
rnacentral:lncRNA from 1 species